CAGCAGCCGCGGGAACACGGAGGGGGCUAGCGUUGUUCGGAAUUACUGGGCGUAAAGCGCACGUAGGCGGCUUGGUAAGUUAGAGGUGAAAGCCUGGAGCUCAACUCCAGAAUUGCCUUUAAGACUGCCGAGCUAGCAGGUGAGAGAGGUAAGUGGAAUUCCGAGUGUAGAGGUGAAAUUCGUAGAUAUUCGGAAGAAUACCAGUGGCGAAGGCGGCUUACUGGCUCAUUCUAGACGCUGAGGUGCGAAAGCGUGGGGAGCAAACAGGAUUAGAUACCCGUGUAGUCCCUGUCUCUUAUAA
rnacentral:rRNA from 1 species